rnacentral:rRNA from 1 species
GAUGAACGCUGGCGGCGUGCCUAAUACAUGCAAGUCGAGCGAAUGACGAGAAGCUUGCUUCUCUGAUUUAGCGGCGGACGGGUGAGUAACACGUGGGCAACCUGCCCUACAGAUUGGGAUAACUCAGGGAAACCUGGGCUAAUACCGGAUAAUCCUUCGAAUCACAUGUUUUGAAGUUGAAAGGCGCUUCGGCGUCACUGUAGGAUGGGCCCGCGGUGCAUUAGCUAGUUGGUGGGGUAACGGCCUACCAAGGCAACGAUGCAUAGCCGACCGAAGAGGGUGACCGGCCACAUUGGGACGGAGACACGGCCCAAACUCCUACGGGAGGCAGCAGGAGGGAAUCUUCCACAAUGGACGAAAGUCUGAUGGAGCAACGCCGCGUGAGUGAUGAAGGUUUUCGGAUCGUAAAACUCUGUUGUAAGGGAAGAACAAGUACGUUAGGAAAUGAACGUACCUUGACGGUACCUUAUUAGAAAGCCACGGCUAACUACGUGCCAGCCGCCGCGGUAA